rnacentral:lncRNA from 1 species
UGAAACAGAAUCAUCAUGCAUACAUGGUAAAGAUUAAAGAAUUGUAUUGAGAUAUAACUCCAAUUGAGAGAACUAAAUAUACUACAUUAACAAAAGAAUUUAUACAAUUGAGUAGUCACCCUUAAGAGAUAGGGGCAAGUACAUUUUGUGCAGUAGCGGUAGAGAUGAAUGAAUCUGUGUUUUGGAUUGGGAGCAGUAGGGUGGAUCUACAAGUAGGACAUGUUAUUUGAUGUUGAUCCAUCCAACUGUCUAAGCAAUUUUUAUGGAAAACAUGACAACAAUUUGGUAGUUCUCUCAUCUCAUGGCUGUAUUCCAUAUGAUUCAAGCAAAUUGCACAUACCUCCUCUUCCUGCAAAUCAUAUUUCUUAGCUGCUGCUGUUGAUGAUGAUGAUAUUCCAUUGCACUUAUCUUGAAAAUGACCAAAUGUUACUACCGGAAGUUUCUUCUUGAUUGGGUCAAUGUCCAUGAUAAUAGUAACCGGCGAGACAGGGAGUGAGACAGGAAGGCAGAACAAUGAAUCGUCAUCAGCAAAGUAAUGAGUUUGAUCAUAUUGAAUAAGAAUAUUGAUGAAUUCCAAACUAUUAAAGAUUGUAGACUUGAGAUUUGUUAAUAACUUGAACACAUUUUCUUUUGCAACAUUGAUACCACCAACACGCGCCAAGAAAUCCAUUAACUUGUUGAUGAAAGCAAAGCAAUGAGAACUGAGAAGCAGAAGAAGAAAGGCAGUGGGGAAGCAAAGAAGAAAGAAUGUAUGGUUCUUCUUUUAUAUACAAAAGAAUGAAAAAAAAAUAUAAGAUUAAUUAGGUAGGUUGGAGAAUGAAAAAAAACAUAAGAUUAAUUAGGUAGGUUGGAGUUUGAACAAGACCUUUUGCCGUCGUCCAUAUAAUAACGUGGGCGCAUUUAGAUUGAAAUUGAAAUGAAUAGUGAAUACUACUAGAAGAUAAGAAUAAUAAAGACGUGUGUUUGUGUAUCUCGACUUGACACUAGGAGAACAAUAUGACACGCAUAUUGCCCACAGACAAAG